rnacentral:rRNA from 1 species
GACCCGUCUUGAAACACGGACCAAGGAGUCUAACAUGUGCGCGAGUCGUCGAGUCUAUUACGAAACUCGCGAGGCGCAAUGAAAGUGAAGCGGCCCCGAUUAGNGUGCAUCCGCGAGGGGUGAUGCCGUCUCGAUCAGAGCGGGCGCAACCCCUGGGCGUCCUGAAUGCUCGCGAGGCCCCGGUCAAACGGUGUGGCGACGUCGGCCGGUUGAACCAAGAGCGUACACGUUGGGACCCGAAAGAUGGUGACCUAUGCCUGGCCAGGACGAAGCCAGGGGAAACCCUGGUGGAGGUCCGCAGCGAUUCUGACGUGCAAAUCGAUCGUCGGAGUUGGGUAUAGGGGNNAAAGACUAAUCGAACCNUCUAGUAGCUGGUUCCCCCUGAAGUUUCCNUCAGGAUAGUUGGUGCUCGCAUAUAGACCAAACGNAGUUUCAUCCGGUAAAGCGAAUGAUUAGAGGCCUUGGGGUCGAAACGACCUCAACAUAUUCUCAAACUUUCAAUGGGUGAGAAGNNCGGCNNUGCAUUUCUUGAUUGAGGCCGUGGCAAUAAUUUUAUUUUGAAUCUGAGCGCCCAGUGGGNCAUUUUUGGUAAGCAAAACUGGCGCUGUGGGAUGAACCAAACGCUAAGUUACGGNGCCUAAA